UAGAAACUUAGAUAGAAGAAGAAAAAAGAAGAAAAGAAAAAAGGGAGGAAGGGAAGAUGAUAAUGACAAAGACGAA
rnacentral:ribozyme from 14 species